GACGAACGCUGGCGGCGUGCCUAAUACAUGCAAGUAGAACGCUGAAGGAGGAGCUUGCUCUUCUGGAUGAGUUGCGAACGGGUGAGUAACGCGUAGGUAACCUGCCUGGUAGCGGGGGAUAACUAUUGGAAACGAUAGCUAAUACCGCAUAACAGUAGAUGUUGCAUGACAUCUACUUAAAAGGUGCAAUUGCAUCACUACCAGAUGGACCUGCGUUGUAUUAGCUAGUUGGUGGGGUAACGGCUCACCAAGGCGACGAUACAUAGCCGACCUGAGAGGGUGAUCGGCCACACUGGGACUGAGACACGGCCCAGACUCCUACGGGAGGCAGCAGUAGGGAAUCUUCGGCAAUGGACGGAAGUCUGACCGAGCAACGCCGCGUGAGUGAAGAAGGUUUUCGGAUCGUAAAGCUCUGUUGUAAGAGAAGAACGAGUGUGAGAGUGGAAAGUUCACACUGUGACGGUAUCUUACCAGAAAGGGACGGCUAACUACGUG
rnacentral:rRNA from 1 species